UGCUUCAGUUAUGCCUAGGGCACAACCUGCACAGGAACUCAUUGUCCUCAACGAGAAAUGUGACCUUUAGUGACUCACUUUUUCUCAGAGGGGAUGGCAGAGCAGCUACACUCUGCAAGAGCAGCAGGCGAGCCUGCAUCUGAGCUCUGCUUCUAGAAGGGGUGGAGGAUUUGCUGCUUUAGGGGGGCAGUACUGCAGGAUUCCAGGUGGUCAUGCAGCAGAAGCAGCAGUGAUCUGAGUGUCCCACAAAGGUUUAAAUUACCGGUUGGCUCUGGGUAAAUGUGCUGCACUUGGCCAUAGCAGUGGGGCUUUCUGACAGAGGUUUUGUUCGCAUUAAGGUUGCUCUCUAUGCUGCUGGGAUGCCACCCUAAUGUACCAACCCAGGAAGAGAGCUGAGUGAGUGUCAGCCAACACUUUGAGACACCACACAUGGCAGGAUGACAGCUGGUGGUCAGGGAACAUCAGGACUAUUGUCAGCAUUGAAAUGGACUGGGGUACACUUUUACAUCAAGUAACAAAUUGCAUCUUUGAGGUGUUGUAUCAGCGCUACUUACUACAGCAAGGGUGGGAAGUCAAAUUGCCUUUUCCCUUGAAUUAAUUCUACAGGAAUGUAGGAAUUAGGAUUUCAAUCUGAUUAAUGUCCCACUCACUUAAGUGUCUUCAAUCAAGGAGCAGGAGUCCUGAAAGCUUCAGAGAAAGAGACAAAACCUGGUAAUAAAUUUUUUUAUAGAUGCUUUUGAGGAAAAAUUCUUCCUAAUAUGAAAGUUAUUUUUGAAUGAAAGGUUCAUGAAAGAUGAGCACAGAUUUCUUCUUCUGGCGGCUUCUGCAGUGGAAGGAAACAGUUGUGUCCCAAACAAAAUGCAGUGACGGGCUUGAAAUUGGAAAAACAUUUCUCAAUACAGCUAUAUAUUACGUCUAUUAUUUAACAGGAUAGUCACUAUCAAAAUGGGCUAAAGACAAAUCUAAACAAUUAGUUUUUUUUUCUGUUUUCAGAGACAUUUUAGAGUUUUCAAUGUUGGUAUUGGAUGGAGACUUAACCAGAGCGUCCUUACUAUUAUUAGGGAUUCAGUGGUCAUGGGUAAUAAAUUUAAACACACUUGCAUCAAAAUUAAUCAACUUUUACACAUAACUUAAUUUCAUAAUCUCAAAUCAGAUAAUUUUUGUCAAUAUUUUUUAAUCUUCCUGAUUUGAGAAGCAUCUUUCAUAUGUUGAGGAGGGGGUCUCUGUUAAUUCCUCAGCACUCCCUCAAGCCUUUCAAAAACCCUCCAAAUGGCAGUGGGUUUUUAGGAAAGCUGGUGAUCACCACUGAGUCUUGGGCUGUACUGUAAGCUGAAUGCUUUGAGGUAGAUUCUGUGUUUGUUAAAGUGGGUCUACUUUUAUGACUCAGUUUUUCCUGCAGCAGUGAAAGAGCAGCAUAUUCUGCUUCACUUAUGCAUUUAGAUCUGACCAGCAGUUGCCUGGAGCUGAGUUCAUGUAUUUGCAAAAUACUGUUUUCCCUGCACUGGAUCCCGAAGGGUGUUUGCCUCAAGAGUUGUGUCCAGGUCUCAUCUUCUGUAAUGCUUCUGUACACUAUUGUUACUUUUUUGCUGUUGCUUUGCAGGACGGAGAAAUACAAGGUAAGAGAAUCAUAUUAAAAUUGUUUGUACCUCUCGAGACUGUUGCACAUUCCAUUAAAAUACAUUUUUGUACUAUAGUUACUCAGUCUUCUUCAUGAUAUAAACCAGGGGUGGAAAUGCUGCUGAGACUGUGCUGCUACACCUUGAUCAGUAGGAGCGAGGCCAGAUAUGGCUUCUGGGAGAUGACUGCUAAAAUACCAGACUCAGGUUCCACCAAUCCAGCCCACUGGAAAUCCUGCUGCCUCUGUUUCUUUAGACAGAAGAGGCAAAUAAAAAGCAUGAUAAUUCUGAAAGGACUCAACUAGCAGUGACGAGGACUUGGCUAGAGGGUUUAUAGGGCUUGCCAAUAAAAUGGUGCCCCAGAUCUGACACUCCACAGAGGGCAGGACAGGGUUGGCAUGGGGCUGGACCUGCCCAGCCCAGCGACUUCUUGCACUGACAGUCCCUGUGCUCCACACAGGAAGUGGUAAAGGGCUUUUCCUGCUUCCCAGCUCACCCAGCCCUAUAACAUGG